AAUAGAUACCCAGGUAGUCCACGCCGUAAACGAUGAGUGCUAAGUGUUAGAGGGUUUCCGCCCUUUAGUGCUGCAGCUAACGCAUUAAGCACUCCGCCUGGGGAGUACGGCCGCAAGGCUGAAACUCAAAGGAAUUGACGGGGGCCCGCACAAGCGGUGGAGCAUGUGGUUUAAUUCGAAGCAACGCGAAGAACCUUACCAGGUCUUGACAUCCUCUGCCAACCCUAGAGAUAGGGCGUUCCCCUUCGGGGGACAGAGUGACAGGUGGUGCAUGGUUGUCGUCAGCUCGUGUCGUGAGAUGUUGGGUUAAGUCCCGCAACGAGCGCAACCCUUGAUCUUAGUUGCCAGCAUUCAGUUGGGCACUCUAAGGUGACUGCCGGUGACAAACCGGAGGAAGGUGGGGAUGACGUCAAAUCAUUAUGCCCCUUAUGACCUGGGCUACACACGUGCUACAAUGGAUGGUACAAAGAGCUGCGAACCCGCGAGGGUAAGCCAAUCUCAUAAAGCCAUUCUCAGUUCGGAUUGUAGG
rnacentral:rRNA from 1 species